rnacentral:rRNA from 1 species
AUUGAACGCUGGCGGCAGGCCUAACACAUGCAAGUCGAACGAGUGGCGGACGGGUGAGUAAUGUCUGGGAAACUGCCUGAUGGAGGGGGAUAACUACUGGAAACGGUAGCUAAUACCGCAUACCAUCAGAUGUGCCCAGAUGGGAUUAGCUUGUUGGUGGGGUAACGGCUCACCAAGGCGACGAUCCCUAGCUGGUCUGAGAGGCUGACCGGCCACACUGGAACUGAGACACGGCCCAGACUCCUACGGGAGGCAGCAGUGGGGAAUAUUGGACAAUGGGCGAAAGCCUGAUGCAGCCAUGCCGCGUGUAUGAAGAAGGUCUUCGGGUUGUAAAGUACUUUCGUCGGGGAAGCGUUACCUACAGAGAAAGCACCGGCUAACUCCGUGCCAGCCGCCGCGGUAAUUC